UCUUGAAAGCCUUUGUGCACAGUUAAAAAUAAUUUUUCUCCACUCAUUGGGAAAGAAAGCAACAGACAUGAAGCUUAUAUACCUAUUAAUCUUAUGUAUUUGUCUCGUAACGGCAGCAGAAACAAUGGUACUAAAUAACACUACCUUGAGAAAUUAUGCUGUUUUCAUAUCCAGACCAAAAUGUAAAAGUUAUGAUCAUCGUGGACAAUGUAUUGGUGGAAGCUCGAAAUAAAAGGAUAUAAAAAAUGUAUAGAAAAAUUAAAAUUAGCACACAUCAUUAUAAUCAAUAAUAACUUCGUUGGAAUUUAGAACUGCGAACAAAAAAUAUAUAUGUACAUAAAUAUAAAAUUACAAUAGGUAUUAGACGUUUCCAAAUAAGGAAAGAAUAAAUGUAGGCCUUAAUAAAAUUAAGUGAUUCUAUAGUUAUAUUCUAUAGUUAUAUAUCUUUAUUCAAAUAAUAUGUUCUAAACUUAUCCAUUUAUUAUAAAAUAAUAUCGUAGUCAAGACGAUAUUUUAAUGGGCAAAACUGGAGGCUUUCUACAUGGUACUGGACGAAAAAUCAUCGAUAUUUCAAGAGAAAUGAUAUGUCGUAUAUACUUAUGAUCGUUUAAUGGCCAUCCCCGAAAAAAAUUUCCCUUAUCUCAGAAACACUUGAAAUUUGGAAGAAGAUUUCUAAAGAAAGAUUCCACGAAGAUUAGCAAUUUAAAUACAUACGAGGCUGUAAUUCUCAUAAGAAGAUUAUUUUAGUAAAAGUGUUAUUUUCUAGGAACGAAAAGUUGAACCCAAUCUCAGCUUACGGUCAACAUUUUUUAAUCAAUAGUAAGGCACUUUCUCAACAAAUUCAUCAUAAGCUUCUCAAAGACGGUGCUUAAAUGAGUUAAGCAUCCAGCCACUAUACACGGAAAAAACUGGCGCUCCCUAGCUCAAUACACCACAACCGAUGAUAACAUAGCACAAGACACCUCACAAUACCUGUACACCAACACACUAAGCAAAAAGGA